UACGUAGGGGGCUAGCGUUGUCCGGAAUCAUUGGGCGUAAAGAGCGUGUAGGCGGUCCGGUAAGUCCGCUGUGAAAGUCGGGGGCUCAACCCUCGAAUGCCGGUGGAUACUGUCGGGCUAGAGUGCGGAAGAGGCGAGUGGAAUUCCUGGUGUAGCGGUGAAAUGCGCAGAUAUCGGGAGGAACACCGGUGGCGAAGGCGGUUCUCUGGGCCUUACCUGACGCUGAGGAGCGAAAGCGUGGGGAGCGAACAGG
rnacentral:rRNA from 1 species